UUACUGAGCAUUGUAAAAGUUUCCAUUUUAUUCUUUCAUGCAGGACAUUCCUUGAGCUACACCUUUAAGUUUCUCAGUGGUUAAAAAGGAGUCAAAAUGCUGUUUCAGGUCAGCUCAUUCUUAUUUCAACAAAGACAGACUUCCAGCUCCAAGCAUGUCUGCUCAAAUUCAGAUCUCACAAAGGCUUUGCAUGGAGUGAUCACCAAAGCAGGAACCUGAGGAUCAGGAGCUGCUUGCCAGGUCUGACUUUGUGACACUUCAGCCCCUCCUGCCUUCCUUCUCAAAUGGCUGUCCAGAGGAGGGGGACAAGCUGUGAAAGCACCAUGGUGAAGCCUUCCAUCUGUGCUACCUCAGCUUCCAGAGGUGUUUUGUUCAUGUGUCUGAAAGUUUGUAAGUAAAUCCUCUCA